AGCAGCCGCGGUAAUUCCAGCUCCAAUAGCGUAUAUUAAAGUUGUUGCAGUUAAAAAGCUCGUAGUUGAACCUCGGGAUCAAUGGGUCGGUCAUGCCCUCGGUAUGUACUGGCCUCAUUGGUUCUCACCUUCUAAGGAACCUUAAUGUCAUUAAUUUGAUGUUUUGGGGAAUUAGGACUGUUACCUUGAAAAAAUUAGAGAGUUUAAAGCAGGCCAACGCUUGAAUACAUUAGCAUGGAAUAAUGAAAUAGGACAUCGCAUUCUAUUUUGUUGGUUUCUAGGAUCGAUGUAAUGAUUAAUAGGGAUAGUUGGG
rnacentral:rRNA from 1 species